rnacentral:lncRNA from 1 species
UUCUAUGGAGCAUGGCACCGUUCUAGGUGCGAGUUGCUGACCUGAAAAUUUUCCAUUGCCCUGCCUUAACAUUGACUUUACCUUGUUCAGAGAGAAAUCAAUCAUCCAAAAGACCAACUCAGGACCUUCAGAUUCUAUUGGUGAGCUACUCCUUUUGCAGUAUCUAUCCUCUCUGUGCACUGUCUUUGAACUUCUACUGACCAAACUCAUUCCCCAAAACAUGAAUAAAAAGUGAGGACUCACUGGUAUGCAUCCCAUAUGCGAACAAUGCAGAAGUGAACACAGAACUCGGAAAGCCGUCUGGUUUUCGCUAAAAUUGGUGACUGGGGCACAAGAGACGACAAUGAACAACUCCUCUGCAGCUUCACUGGCCAGGUUGUAUGAAAUGGGAAACGAAGACAACAAUUUUGGAAACAUAAUGAUUCGAGUACACACCAGAGAAACAUCAUCAAGAUACAGCAUUCAGCAAAGUAAGAUCAUGAUAGUGGCAAGAAUUUACAAGAGCUAGCCAAUCAAAAGUUACAGAGAGUCCGUCCCUCGCUUCCGAGCAUACCCAUUUCAAGAACCUCCCCCACCCCAAAAGAAAGAAAAAAGAAAUUCAAGAACAAGAACUCGUCACAAAGAAGACC